UCUUGAGUUCCGGCCAAAACGCCGACCUGGGAGCCUAGACGCCCGCGGGAGUUUGGGGCGGGGCUAACGUCAAACAACAUUUCCCGGGAUGUUAGGUCACCUCCCUAGCUUCAAUCGGUUCCGGAGCUGCCCGCACGCCCCUCCCCAUUACCUCUGGGUCUCCAGGUCCCACCGCUCUUCCCUGGCCUGUCCUUUUCUGUGAACUUGCUGGACGAGCUCCUGCCUUAGCACCUUUGCAAUGCUAGUCGUCCAGGUACCUGCACGACUCCUGCCCGAACAUCCUUCAGGACUUCAGCUCAAAUUUGCAUGGGCCAGAGCUGGUCUACAGUCAUCAGGCAAGCCAAAGAUGGGAGCAGGGUCACCGAGGGACUUGGAUGUGCAUGGGGAGCCAGGGUGACAUUGACACAAAGCAUAUACUGCAUAGUGUCUGCACCUGAAGGGCUGCAGCAAACAGAUAUAUCAUGCAUAUUGGGAGAAAAUAAAAACAGCAUAGCAUGACAGGGGAGAGACUGAGGUACAUAGCCUGAGCUGAUCAAAGAGGAUUUUACUGGAACAAAAGGCCAAGAGAAAUGGGAAAGACUUUAUGUAUGAAAAUUAAACAACUAG